rnacentral:rRNA from 1 species
CAGGCCUAACACAUGCAAGUCGAGGGCGAGCAUAUGGAUUGCUGCAUCCAUGAUGGCGACGGCGCACGGUGCGUAACGCGUAUGUAACUUGCCUUAUGCAGGAGGAUAACCCGAACGAAAUUACGGCCUAAUACUCCAUAAGUGUCAGAGAGGCAUCUUUCGGGCAUGAAAGAUUUAUCGGCAUAAGAUAGACAUGCGUGACAUUAGCUAGUCGGUGAGGUAACGGCUCACCGAGGCGACGAUGUCUAGGGGUUCUGAGAGGAAGGUCCCCCACACUGGUACUGAGACACGGACCAGACUCCUACGGGAGGCAGCAGUGAGGAAUAUUGGUCAAUGGACGGAAGUCUGAACCAGCCAUGCCGCGUGCAGGAUGACGGCUCUAUGAGUUGUAAACUGCUUUUGUACGAGAAUAAUAGUUCUUACGUGUAGGGAUUUGAAUGUAUCGUACGAAUAAGGAUCGGCUAACUCCGUG